rnacentral:rRNA from 1 species
UACGUAGGGUGCGAGCGUUAAUCGGAAUUACUGGGCGUAAAGCGUGCGCAGGCGGUUUUUUAAGCCAGACGCGAAAGCCCCGGGCUUAACCUGGGAAUGGCGUUUGGGACUGGAAGGCUGGAGUACGGCAGAGGGAGGUGGAAUUCCACGUGUAGCAGUGAAAUGACGUAGAGAUGUGGAGGAACACCGAUGGCGAAGGCAGCCUCCUGGGCCAGUACUGACGCUCAUGCACGAAAGCGUGGGGAGCAAACAGG